rnacentral:rRNA from 1 species
AUUGAACGCUGGCGGCAUGCCUUACACAUGCAAGUCGAACGGCAGCACGGGAGCAAUCCUGGUGGCGAGUGGCGAACGGGUGAGUAAUAUAUCGGAACGUGCCCGGUCGUGGGGGAUAACGUAGCGAAAGCUACGCUAAUACCGCAUAUGAUCUACGGAUGAAAGCGGGGGAUCGCAAGACCUCGCGCGAUUGGAGCGGCCGAUAUCAGAUUAGGUAGUUGGUGAGGUAAAGGCUCACCAAGCCGACGAUCUGUAGCUGGUCUGAGAGGACGACCAGCCACACUGGGACUGAGACACGGCCCAGACUCCUACGGAGGCAGCAGUGGGGAAUUUUGGGACAAUGGGCGCAAGCCUGAUCCAGCAAUGCCGCGUGCAGGAUGAAGGCCUCGGUUGUAACUGCUUUGUACGG